rnacentral:rRNA from 1 species
CGGCUGAACCAGCAACUUGGAGGAAUGUAUAUUACAUAUACACAUAUAUGUAUAUUGACUAUGUCAAAUAAAGUUCUAGAUAGAAUAAUGAUAAUGACAAUUUUCUAUUUAUGUGUCUUGACCAAAUCACGUGCCAGCAGUCGCGGUAAUACGUGGAAGACUAGUGUUAUUCAUCUUUAAUAGGUUUAAAGGGUACCUAGACGGUAUUUUUAGCCCAAAAUAGGGUACUUAUUUACUAGAGUUUGAUGCGAGAAGGAUAGUAUUAUUAGUGUAGAGAUAAAAUUCUUUGAUACUUUAAGGACUGGCAAAGGCGAAAGCGACCUUCUAUGUAAAAACUGACGUUGAGGGACGAAGGCCGGGGGAGCGAUAAGGAUUAGAUACCCUAGUAGUCCAGGCAGAAAAUUAUGAAUGUCACAUACUAGAUUAAUUUAGUGUGUAAAUUAAAGUGUAAGCAUUCCACCUUAAGAGUAAUGCGGCAACGCAGGAACUGAAAUCAUUAGACCGUUUCUGAAACCAGUAGUGAAGUAUGUUAUUUAAUUCGAUGAUCCGCGAAAAACCUUACCACAAUUUGUAUAUCUUUUCUUUUAUUUUUCCCUGUUUUCCUUUUUUUUCCUUAGGGAAUAGGUUACAGUUAAUAGCAACGGAAAAGAUACAGGCGCUGCACGGCUGUCUUUAGUUAAUGUCGUGAGAUUCUGGUAACACCUCAAAAUUAACGUAAACCCUUGCUUUAUUUAACAAUUUUAAUAAAGUAUUUGACCGCUAUAUUGGAUCUGAUAAAGGGGACUAAGGCAAGUCAUCAUGGCCCUAAUAUUGUGGGCUAUAGACGUGCUACAUAUAC